rnacentral:rRNA from 1 species
AGUAGUUUGAUCAUGGCUCAGGAUGAACGCUGGCGGCGUGCCUAACACAUGCAAGUCGAACGGAGCUUAUUUUUUAAUACUUCGGUAAGCGAGAAGUAAGCUUAGUGGCGGACGGGUGAGUAACGCGUGGAGAACCUGCCCUGUACUGGGGGAUAACAGUGAGAAAUCACUGCUAAUACCGCAUAAGCGCACGGAGCCGCAUGGCCCAGUGUGAAAAACUCCGGUGGUACAGGAUGGCUCCGCGUUGGAUUAGCCAGUUGGCGGGGUAACGGCCCACCAAAGCGACGAUCCAUAGCCGGCCUGAGAGGGUGAACGGCCACAUUGGGACUGAGACACGGCCCAGACUCC